rnacentral:rRNA from 1 species
GACGAACGCUGGCGGCGUGCUUAACACAUGCAAGUCGAACGAUGAAGCUGGAGCUUGCUCCGGUGGAUUAGUGGCGAACGGGUGAGUAACACGUGAGAAAUCUGCCCUUGACUCUGGGAUAACUGCGGGAAAUUGUAGCUAAUACCGGAUACUUUCCUUGGUGGGCAUCCACUGGGGAAGAAAGAAUUUCGGUAAAGGAUAAUCGCGCGGCGAAUCAGCUAGUUGGUGAGGUAAGGGCUAACCACGGCGACGACGGGUAGCCGGCCUGAGAGGGUGACCGGCCACACUGGGACUGAGACACGGCCCAGACUCCUACGGGAGGCAGCAGUGAGGAAUAUUGCGCAAUGGGCGCAAGCCUGAUGCAGCAACGCCGCGUGAGGGAUGAAGGCCUUCGGGUUGUAAACCUCUUUUAGCAGGGAAGAAGCGAAAGUGACGGUACCUGCAGAAAAAGCACCGGCUAACUACGUGCCAGCCGCCGCCGUAA